UCCCUCUUAGGAUGGCACCUGGAGAGUUUCCGGGACUCUACCGGUCUCGGCUACCGGAGGGAGAGUCAAGCAGAGGCCUGUCCAUUCCAUUCCUAGCUUGGCCAGUGGCUAGCGAGUGGCAGGCAAUCUGCUACAAGU
rnacentral:snoRNA from 1 species